rnacentral:lncRNA from 1 species
AAGAAAAAGGAAGAACGAAAAUAAGAAUAAGGAGUGGAAUAUGGAGAAAAAGAAAAAACAAUAAGAAAGAAUAAGAAUAAGAAUAAGAAGUAGAAUUAGGAGAAAAAGAAAGGAGAAAGAAUAAGAAUAAGAAUGAGUAGAAUAUGAAGGAAAAAAAGAAAAAAAGAAUAAUAAUAAGAAUAAGAAUGAGUAGAAUACGGAGAAAAAAAAGAAAAAGAGAAAGAAUAAUGAUAAGAAUAAAAAUGAGUAGAAUAUGAAAAAAGAGAAAAAGAUGAAAGAAUAAGAACAAGAAUAAGGAGUAGAAUAUGAAGAAAAAAAGAAAAAGAAAAAAUAAGAAUAAAAACAAGGAAUAGAUUUUGGAGAAAAAGAAAGAAAAAG